rnacentral:rRNA from 1 species
ACAGUGAUGUGGAGCUAAACUGAAAAAAGUAAGUCUCAGUUCGGAUUGAAGGCUGAAAUUCGCCUUCAUGAAGCCGGAAUUGCUAGUAAUGGCAGGUCAGCAUACUGCCGUGAAUACGUUCCCGGGCCUUGUACACACCGCCCGUCACACCAUGAGAGUUGGGAAUACCCGAAGCCUGUGAGCUAACUAUACGAGGCAGCAGUCGAAGGUAGAAUCAAUGAUUGGGGUGAAGUCGUAACAAGGUAUC